rnacentral:ncRNA from 2 species
GGGGGCUGGGGCGCGGGGAGGUGCUAGGUCGGCCUCGGCUCCCGCGCCGCACCCC